AAAACAAUUUAUGACCCUUUAAAAAAUAGAUUCAUAGUAUAAUAACUUUUAAAGUAUUUUGUGGUAAGUUAAUGAAACCUUUCGAAAUCACAUUAUUAAUUUAGUAGUCAGUUUUUGAUUUUUAGUGAUGUUUACGGUACAUGUAAUAUAUCUUCUUUCAGAUAAUAUUCCUUGUUCCUUUGAUGGUUCAUUCCACUACAGCUGGUUCAUAUACCCUACAACAGCCAGGAAAUUGGUCUGUUUACUUUAAGAUCUCAAGAAAAUGUAACAUAUUUUGGAUGUGCUUUGAGGAAACAGGAAGGCAAGUGUUUCCUCUUGUUUAUGAAAGCAAUUCAGUUGGUUAAGGGGCAGACAACUUGUGAGCAUGGUACAUCACUACCUGUAUUGGUAUUCCAUUUUGACAAUGCUGCUAGCUAGAAUAGAAAUAACAUCUUGCUGUGGUAUGGUCUGUGGAGAGUUUUACUAGGAUAUCACAGAUCGACUGAAUAUUCAACAAUGAUCACAGACCAUGCAAAGUUUGAAUCUGACUUGCACUUUUGAAUUUAGAAGAAUCUGCGGAGGAGGGUGAAUGCUGAGACCUUUAAUAACACAUGAUAUUGCUGACACAGUGUGUCAGUCAUCAAAGAAAUGUCACGGAUGGACGGAUAGCUCAGUGGUUUGCACACUGGCCUUCCAAUCCUGAGGUCGGGGGUUCGAUCCCCGGCAGCUACUCGGGAAUUUUCAGAAACGCUUUUCAGUGUUUCCCACCCAGCUAGAGGUGUACUGGUGAGGAACCCAGGCAAUCCUUGCGUGUAUCAGUGCUAUACACUGGGCACGUUAAAGAACCAGGCUGUCUAUUCGCAACGAGCUAGGCUAAGUUAGCCGGACAAGCCUGUAUCUGAUUUCUGAUCUCUCUGUGGGGGCUUUGUCUCACUCUGUCCCUCUGGUCAGAUCACUCUGUGUCUGUACUAGUAGAGGAUGAUUUCGCGCCCUGUGUGGCUGCAGUUGCUGUAAAGUGCCUUUGAACGUGUUUAUUAUGAAAAGGGCGCUAUAUAAAUCUGGUAUAAUAAUAAUAAUAACAACAACACAAUUGGUCAACAAAGAUUUAAGUCCUGUCACAUUCUACCAGUGGAGAAAUAUCUUAUCACAAUAUUUUAAACUUUUGAAGAAGAUAACCAAGUAUUACCACUUUAUCAUGUCUGCAGAAACACCUGGAUUGUUAGUCUUAAAAGUGACAGUCCAGUUAACUUACUAAAAUCUACUCCCCCUUGCCAAAUGAAUAUUAUUGACAUGGAAUGACACAAGCCUGACAAUGUACCUGUAUGAACUCAUAAGAGAAUAGUAUUUGUCUGAAAAGUCAAAGGAUUCUGUUUGUCCCAAACCACUUGAACUGAAAUUGGAUUGACGAGGAUUUUUCUGAGAACUGAAAAAGGAAGUGAAUAUAAAAGAUAGAAAUUGUUGUUGAAUUCAAACGUUUUAAUAUACAACACUUUAGCCUGUUUUGCUGUUCAUAUAGAUGUGUUUAGCUGUUAAGGUUAAACAUCAAGUAAAGGUUGUAGUUUCAGUUACCUACAUUAAAGUAUUGGCUGGAAAUAAAUAUUUACUUUUCA